rnacentral:rRNA from 1 species
CUCAACCUCGGAUUCGCGAGCGAAACGGCACGACUAGAGGGCGCGAGAGGUUUGCGGAACUCAUGGUGUAGGGGUGAAAUCCGUUGAUAUCAUGGGGAACACCGAAAGCGAAGGCAGCAAACUGGCGCGUUCCUGACGCUCAUACACGAAAGCCAGGGUAGCGAACGGGAUUAGAUACCCCGGUAGUCCUGGCCCUAAACGAUCCUUGCUGGCUUUCCGGAGUAUCGACCCUCUGGGAGGCGAAGCUAACGCGUUAAGCAAGGCGCCUGGGUAGUACGAGCGCAAGCUUAAAACUCAAAGGAAUAGACGGGGGCUCGCACAAGCGGUGGAGCGUGUGGCUUAAUUCGUAGCUAAGCGAAGAACCUUACCGGGGUUAGAAACCAAACUGCACGCCUAGGGAAACCUAGGUUCCUUCGAGGGUGU